rnacentral:lncRNA from 1 species
CACUAGCGAUCGAAUCCAGCAACAUAGAAAAACAUGAGCACAUGAUAGCCAAGUGGGGUUUACCCUGAGAACACAAGGCUGUUCAACACAGAAUGCCAAUCAUCACAAUCCACCACAUCAACAACACAGAAAGCCAGUCAUCACAAUCCACCACAUCAACAACACGGAAUGCCAGUCAUCACAAUCCACUGCGUCAACAACACAGAAUGCCAGUCAUGACAAUCCUUCACGUCAACAACACGGAACGCCAGUCAUCACAAUCCAUCGCGUCAGCAACACGGAACGCCAGUCAUCAAAAUCCACCGCGUCAGCAACACGGAACGCCAGUCAUCACAAUCCACUGUGUCAACAACACAGAACGCCAGUUAUCACAAUCCACUGCGUCAGCAACACAGAACGCCAGUCAUCACAAUCCACCGCGUCAGCAACACGGAACGCCAGUCAUCACAAUCCACCACAUCAACAACACGGAAUGCCAGUCAACACAAUCCACCGUGUCAGCAACACGGAAUGCCAGUCAUCACAAUCCACUGCGUCAACAACACAGAACGCCAGUCAUCACAAUCCACCGCGUCAACAACACGGAACGCCAGUCAUCACAAUCCACCACAUCAACAACACGGAACGCCAGUCAACACAAUCCACCGUGUCAGCAACACGGAAUGCCAGUCAUCACAAUCCACUGCGUCAACAACACAGAAUGCCAGUCAUCACAAUCCUUCACGUCAACAACACGGAACGCCUGUCAUCACAAUCCUUCACGUCAACAACACGGAACUCCAGUCAUCACAAUCCACUGCAUCAGCAACACGGAACGCCAGUCAUCACAAUCCACUGUGUCAGCAACACAGAACGCCAGUCAUCACAAUCCACCGCGUCAGCAACACGGAACACCAGUCAUCACAAUCCACCGCAUCAGCAACACGGAAAGCCAGUCAUCACAAUCCACCGAGUCAGCAACACGGAAUGCCAGUCAUCACAAUCCACUGUGUCAGCAACACGGAACGCCAGUCAUCACAAUCCAUCGCAUCAGCAACACGGAACGCCAGUCAUCACAAUCCACCGAGUCAGCAACACGGAACGCCAGUCAUCACAAUCCACUGCGUCUGCAACACGGAAUGCCAGUCAUCACAAUCCAUCGCGUCAACAACACGGAACGCCAGUCAUCACAAUCCACUGCGUCAACAACACAGAACGCCAGUCAUCACAAUCCUUCACGUCAACAACACGGAACGCCAGUCAUCACAAUCCUUCACGUCAACAACACGGAACGCCAGUCAUCACAAUCCACCGUGCCAACAACACGGAACGCCAGUCAUCACAACCCACCACAUCAACAACAUGGAACGCCAGUCAUCACAAUCCACUGUGUCAACAACACAGAACGCCAGAACGCCAGUCAUCACAAUCCACCACGUCAAAAACACGGAACACCAGUCAUCACAAUCCACCACGUCAACAACAUGGAACGCCAGUCAUCACAAUCCACCACGUCAACAGAUGAAAUAAGAGAAGCCACACGAUCCUAUGGAUACAGAAAAAAAAUGUGAUAAAAUGCAAUAUCUGUUAAUGAUUUUUAAAAUUUCUCAGAAAAUUAAGAAUAGGAAGGAACUUCCUUAACCUGGA